AUGUAUAGGAUAUCAAAAGAUACCCUGUUGGCCAUGUCUAACCAUCGAAGUUCACAAUCUCAAGUCUGGUCCCAAAACUCUUCUAGUUUUCAUCAUUCUCCUUACCAAAAAUUGAUGUCAAAGGCUGUGGUACUUCCUCUUGAGGAAAUUGUUAAACUAUCUCAGAUUACCUUUUGUGCAACUAUGGCUACCACUAAGAUAAUCAUUGCAUUAAGAUACGGUUGA